GGUCAUGAGUACCAGCGUUCAGCCCCGGCUUGCUGGUCGGCAACCCUCCUCCGCGGUGGGGUGCUCCGGGUGACGACCGGGCCGUCGCCCGACCGGGUGCGGCAAGCGCGGACU
rfam:Nocardia brasiliensis ATCC 700358, complete genome.